CAGUGGGGAAUUUAGGACAAUGGGCGAAAGCCUGAUCCAGCCAUGCCGCGUGCGGGAAGAAGGCCUUCGGGUUGUAAACCGCUUUUGUCAGGGAAGAAAUCUCCUGGGCUAAUACCUCGGGGGGAUGACGGUACCUGGAGAAUAAGCACCGGCUAACUACGUGCCAGCAGCCGCGGUAAU
rnacentral:rRNA from 1 species